rnacentral:rRNA from 1 species
GAUGAACGCUAGCGGCAGGCCUAACACAUGCAAGUCGAGGGAGAGGUUACCUUCGGGUAACCAAAACCGGCGCACGGGUGCGUAACGCGUAUACAAUCUGCCUUUCACAUAGGGAUAGCCCGAAGAAAUUUGGAUUAAUACCUAAUGGUAUAUAAGAGCGGCAUCGUUUUUAUAUUAAAGCUACGGUGGUGAAAGAUGAGUAUGCGUUCUAUUAGCUAGUUGGAGAGGUAACGGCUCCCCAAGGCGACGAUAGAUAGGGGUUCUGAGAGGGAUGUCCCCCACACUGGUACUGAGAUACGGACCAGACUCCUACGGGAGGCAGCAGUGAGGAAUAUUGGACAAUGGUCGGAAGACUGAUCCAGCCAUGCCGCGUGCAGGAUGAAGGUCCUAUGGAUUGUAAACUGCUUUUGUAAGGGAAGAAUAAGGAGUACGUGUACUUUGAUGACGGUACCUUACGAAUAAGCAUCGGCUAACUCCGUGCCAGCAGCCGCGGUAAUACGGAGGAUGCGAGCGUUAUCCGGAAUCAUUGUGUUUAAAGGGCCCGUAGGCGGGCUGAUAAGUCAGAGGUGAAAGCGCUUAGCUCAACUAAGCAACUGCCUUUGAAACUGUCAGUCUUGAAUGAUUGUGAAGUAGUUGGGAUGUGUAGUGUAGCGGUGAAAUGCCUAGAUAUUACACAGACACCGAUAGCGGAGGCAUAUUUACUUACACUUAUUGACGCUGAUGACGAAAGCGUGGGGAGCGAACAGG